CAACAACAGAAUCCAACAACAAUUCACAAAACAAUAGCAAUAACAACAACAGUAAGAACAACAACAGAAGAUUGGUAGGAGGUAAACUAACUGAAUCAUUGAGAGAAUAAUUGCCAACAAAUAAGGAUGGAUGUCCAGAUUAUCAUUGAACUCCAGAGUUGACCCUUCUACACAAGACUUAUGUUUGGUACUGAGCAUGAAGAAAUAUUUGACCAGAUAAUUCAAUACCACAUGAACAUUAGUAUUCUGAAUAAACAAUCUACUACAUGGAACUCAUCCAGCCAAGUGACACAAGUGUGGACUGCACAUUCGAUAUAGAAAACAUUAAGCACUAACAACAACGCUCCUACAAAAACGACUGGUUCCUCCUAUGAGAACCAUUGUCCAAGUAACAUUUUUCAAGUUUCAAAUUGGCCCAUUCUGAAAUUUAGUAUAAAAUGUUAUGUUAUCACUUAUAUCCUUAAGGAAUCUAGACCUUCUACCAUGAUAGAUCUAAACACUUGCAUUCCAAUUAAAUUCAAAAUAUGUAUAUUUAAAGUUUAUUAUGUCGUAACAGGAAAAUGAAAUGUAACCCAAGAACCUCCACCAACUAGAGACCACACCACAUCUAAGUUACACCACAAUCUCAUAGAUAGUACUUUGCAUCAUUUUUGGAUGACUGUCAUGAUAAAAAUAUAUAUAAAUCGAUAAAGGAACCAAAUCUAACCAUAUUUUUCUACAAAUAAACAAAAAUUAGACAAAUAAAAUUAGCAUAAAUCAUGAAAAGAAUGAAAAAGGACAUUAAUCAGCCUAAACCAAAAACUCUGAACCAAAAACUCAAACCUAGUACUAAUUAAAAAGAAUAACAUAAAUGAAGAAUUCAGAAGAAAAAAAAAAUAAAACACGAUAGCAGACUGAGAGAGAGAUAAGAUACGAGUACUGACUUGGAGGUUGGAGUUUCAAAAAAGACUGCGAGAGCUUGAAGAAGACGAUGAAACGGCGUCGUAGAGGUGUGUGCUGAAUCACAAGAGAUGAGGGAAUGGCUCAUGACAAAUUAGAAGCAGAGUUCACAUAUUAGAAGUAGAGUAGAGUUUUAUAGGAAAUUACCCUUUCUUAGAUACCUAAACCCUAAGAUAAAUCAGAAGUAGACCUUCUAAAAAAAAUGAAUAGAGAUGUAAUCAAACUUCUUUCUCAAUUUUUCUUGUUUCCUCCACAAACCCUAAUUUUUUCCCAAUUAAACUUUUCCACAAACCAUAUCACCUUGCCCAAUUAAUUUUUUUCCCGACCCUCCAUCCCCAAUUUUUUUUCCCUACACCCAUACACUCAUCCCUUUACCCCUCUUUCCCUCUCACUCUCCUAUCCCCAAAUUUAAAAAUCCAAACAAAUAAUAAUGAAAUUUUAGAGAAGAGAAGCUUACCAAAGGAAGGACGCCGAGCCGGAGAAACCUAAAGAACGAGAAAGAUCGCUGGUUUUUGGAACGAGAGAGAUCGCUGAUUUUCUGGUUCGGGUAUUGCGAGAGCGUGCUAAAGGCGAGAGCUGAAAGUACCUGGACUGUCGAAUGGAGAGGAUGAAAAGCAACUGCAAGAAAGCAGCAAUGGAGACACGGCAGCAACAUAUUCAAGUCGACCUGGGGAGGAAUUAAUGAAGGAAUGUAUAACGAAGGGACCGAGUUGGUUUAAGCUAUUGCGAAUAGUCUUUUAAAAAAACAUCACAGCUUUUCCAAAUGCACAGAGCCUUUAAAAAUACUGCCACCCUCUUCAAAACAAGCCAGUAAAGCUCAAAUCUUGCAGACAGCAAAGAAGGUAACAAUUGAAGAGUUGGCUUUUUUAUAUCCAGAUUUCUACAAGGUAUUUAAUCUGUUUAUCUUUUGUUAAAAAAGUUGAAUGCAUGUUGACACAUUUGGUUAAAAAUAUCAAUAUUAUUAAUCCUGUUUAUACAAGUCUUUGUUUAAUUGUUUUACAGUACAAAACCUUUCUCUGCAAAGCAUCUGUCAAGCAGUUUGACACACACUACGAUUGCUGGUACAGUGCUUGCCUAAACUGUGCCAAACAAAUGCACAAAGAUCAAACAACUGGGCAAUUGAUUUGCCAAAAACAUGCAAACCAGCUGCCAACUCCUUGGUAUUUUUUAACAUGUUAUGAUUUUAUCACCAAUUGCACAAAAUAUUUCUUCCAUUUCUUCUUUCUUGCCUGUGCCUCAAAUAAUUUGUUCAAAUUCUUUUCUUCCGUAAGUUUUCAUUCUUCUUUUUCACUUCAUGUCAAUUGAUCUUCAAAAUGUCUUGAUCAGAAAGAGUAAACACUAAACAGUUUUUCUCAACAUGUUUUCUUUGGCUUUGUUUAAGAAAUAUAUCUCUGAUGUUCAAUCUUAUCUAACUUAAACUUUUACAAGUACAAACUAAACUUGGUCCUUGAGGACGAAACCGUUGAAAUGAAUGCUUUAAUUAUUGGCAAAUCUGGUGAGAAGCUUUUUGGCACAACCUGCAGAGAUUUAGUGCUCAAUCCAAGACUGGUGGAUCAACAUCAAGUGCCAAAAGAAUUUCUUAGACUGAUAGGGCAGAAGAAGAUUUUUCAUUUACGGUUUGGAACUAGGAAAAACAUGUUAAACACGAAUGAUGUCUUGAUUUACAACGUUUCAGAAUAUUCAACCAUGGAACUAGCAACUCCACAGAGCUUGCUAAAAUACAUCACAGUGUCAUCAACUACAGUUCAUCUUCUGCUUCGCCGCCCGACAGAAGUGCUCAGUCAUACAAAAGAAAAAGGGAAUCGGUCAGAAGAUGUCUUUUUGCCAGUUCUGACCAAAGGUCAUUCCUAAUUGUAUAAUUUUUUUUUACCAAUGUCCAAAUCUUAAACUAUCGCAUGCUCAUGUUUGCCGAUCUUUGUCACCAAUUUCAAACGGUGAUGUAGAAGAUAUCUCAGAAGAAAAUGUGUAGGACUUUGACCAAGUUCCUAUCAAGCUUUUGAAAAAAAAAAAGUCGUCUCCAACCGCUGCAAAAACAGAUUCCGGUUCUUCCAAAAAAGAUAGAUCAUUAUCAACUUUCUCCUGUCCGUUCUGCUGCACAAAGAACGUUGAAUCUUCCUUUUGAACAGAAGUUACCUUCGCACCUCUGAACUAUGUGCAUCGAACAAUGUUUCUCUUAUUUUUUGGUAUGUAAAUAACUCUUUCUAAUCUAUGUUCCAGCAUUUUCCAAUGCUCUCUGUCUAAAUGCUGGCAAAAAUGUGUAGUCUAGGUUGACCAAUAUUUUAUGCGUGUACAUAGUCCAGCAUUUUCUAAUCUUUUGUGUACAAAUGCUUGUCCCAGUUGAAAAUUGGGUGAAAGCAAUGAACCGCAGUGAAUGAUUACAGUGUUUUGUAUAUCUAAAUUUAUUUUAUUGUUUU